UUUCCUUUUGAUAAGAUGCGGGAUCCGAACCCGUAUUCAUUCACUCGCCUCUCUUCUCCAUCAAACCCUAGCUCCUUUCUACCAUGAAACCAAAACCCACAGACCAAUAGCUUGCAUCAGUCGAUCGUGUUCUUCAUCUGUUCUAUUCUUCAUAUUUGAUCGAUCUUCAAAUAGGUUUUGCCUAAAGCUAUGUUGAGAAGAACAUGAGUGGUCCUUUUGUGAAGAAGAAGUUGAUACUCAGGUUUGAGGGUAGGCGUUCAUGGGCUCUUUCAUUCGAGAAGUUUUCGCCAUCAGAAAUUAUUAGGGAUCACCUUGGACUAAGUUGUUGCAAUGUUGAUUGCAAAUUUUUGGUAGAUGAAGAAUAUGCACAGAAUAUCAAGAUCGAAAGGUCUGGGAAUAAGUUUUUCUUCAGUCGGGACUGGGUUAAGGUUGUUCAACAAAUCAAGAUGAAGUUUGCUACUUUUGUUCUUUUUCAGUACAUGGGUCAAAGAAAGUAUAAGUUGAUUGUUUUCAUGAAUGAUAGCACUCAGCUCAUUGUUUCACAUCCACAAGCAAAUCCAAAAGCUGCUCAUGAUAUGAAUACCCUAUGCAGGUUUAUCAUCAACUUAUUCCACAAAAUCAUCAAGUCAUUUCUACUUUUACCGUCAUUGCAAGAAACAGAUUUCGUUUUACCAACCAAAAUGGCAAGAGUUGCAAGAGUAACAGUUUGACGAAGGAUUAAAAUAGGAUAUUUGUCUGGAGAAGUUGCUAGGGUGGAUUUGAGGAAGGAGAAGGAUGGUAGAAGAGGUCAUCGUUAUGCAAUCCAAGGUUGGAGCCAUUUCAUUAAGAAAAAUGUAAUCGAAGACGGUGACAGAUGCAACAUUUUUUUCCUCAUACUACAGGUUUCUUUCAAACAAACGAGACUUGUUCUUUGAUCUUGAAGAUCACUACACCGCCGACAAUUCGACGCCUUUCGCCAGCCACUCAACACCUUUCAAAAGAUCCCCCGCCACCGGAAUUGCCGGAAUCCAGUUCUGAACCGUAGGGGCAGAAUGCUCCGUCCGCCGCCCGCCAUCGUCGGCUUUAAAACAGGUCCUUGCCGGAAUCGGGCGUGAUCGGUAGAAGUCUAGUCAAGGAGAGAUAGUUUUUUUUAAACUUUGUGGUGGAAGAACCCUCACUGGUGGUGGCGGAAUACGAUGGUUGAUGGUGGCACCGGCUUGCCGACGAAAUGUAACGUAGGGGACUAAUAAAUGAUGAAUAAGGUGGGAAAUUGAUGUAAAAAAUAUAAAAUAAAAAGAGGGAGAACUUAUAGUA